UCUCUCUGCUGCGCUUGUUGACAGCUUCCGGCGCGCUCUUCCGCUCUGUUGUGCGCCUGAGUGUCAGAUUGCGAUUAUUAGUUAUUGAUUAUUGUAAUACCAGUCUCUAACAUCGACGACUUCAGCGGCAGCUGGACUCGACCUCAGCGCUGAACAUGAUUAAAGCCAUUCUGAUCUUUAAUAAUCAUGGCAAACCACGGAUGUCGAAGUUCUACGAGCAUUAUACCGAAGACACAGAGCAGCAGAUCAUCAGAGAAACCUUUCAUCUGGUUUCCAAACGAGACGAGAACGUCUGCAACUUCCUGGAGGGAGGACUGUUGAUCGGCGGCUCGGAGAACAAGCUGAUCUACAGACACUACGCCACGCUGUACUUCGUGUUCUGUGUGGAUUCGUCCGAGAGCGAGCUGGGCAUUCUGGACCUGAUCCAGGUGUUCGUGGAGACACUGGAUAAAUGCUUUGAGAAUGUGUGUGAGCUGGACCUGAUCUUCCACCUGGACAAGGUGCACAACAUCCUGGCGGAGAUGGUGAUGGGGGGCAUGGUGCUGGAGACCAACAUGAGCGAGAUCAUCACGCAGGUGGAGGCGCAGGGAAAGAUGGAGAAGUCUGAGGCUGGGAUCGCAGGGGCUCCGGCUCGUGCCGUGUCAGCCGUCAAGAACAUGAACCUGCCAGAGAUGCCCAAGAACAUCAACAUCGGGGACAUCAGCAUCAAAGUGCCAAACCUGCCGUCUUUUAAAUAGUGAACGCUGCACACGAGUGUGAAACUGUGUUCACCAGAGUCCAGCAUCACAGAUGACGAAGGCACUGUGUGACGCUGGCAAUCAAGUAUUUAUUUGAUUCUUUUGUCCCCUGUGUGUGUGUGUGUGUGAGAGAGAGUGAGUGAGUGUGUGUAGAGUGAGUGUGUGUGUGUGUGUGUGUGUGUGUGUGUGAGAGUGUGUGUGUGUGUGAGACAGAGAGAGAGUGUGUGUGUGUGUGUGUGUGUGUGUGUGUGUGUGUGUGUGUGUGUGUGUGUGUGUGUGUGUGUGUGUGUAGCGCUCUCUACAUUACGCCUGACAAACAUUCCAGUCUGGAAAUAUCUCAAUAAAUGAUGCUGUAUAAUGAUGAGUGUAUUCAGAGUAUAUUUAUAUAUGAUUUGUCUCUCCUCUUCUCGUAUGCUGGUCGUUCUGCUUUGGUUUUUAAGUGCUGCUUCUAUUUCCCUUUGCAACAAAAUAAAGGAUCAAAUUAUUUUCUUCUCCAACUCUUGUUUUCUGAGCUCUUGUGUUUGUGAACCAGUUCACUCAGAUUUCUGUAAAUAGUCAAACACUAUUCUGUAUUGUAGAUGGUAUACACAACUAA